CCCCCGACUGUAUCUUGUUACGGUACGUCUUCCCAUGGUUACUUCGGUGGACGUGCCGUCACAAGAUGCAGUGCAAUG
rnacentral:pre_miRNA from 1 species